rnacentral:rRNA from 1 species
GUUUGUUUGGAGCUAUAAAAAAUUUAACCUGCCCCCUGAUUAAUUAUUUAAAGGGCCGCAGUAUUAUAACUGUGCAAAGGUAGCAUAAUCAUUAGGUUUUUAAUUGAAAUCUCGUAUGAAUGGUUGGACAAAAGAAGAACUCUCUUUAUGUUAAGUUUUGAAUUUAACUUUUAAGUGAAAAGGCUUAAAUAUUCUAAAGGGACGAUAAGACCCUAUAAAACUUUACAUUAUUAUUAAUUUUGAUUGAAUUUAUGAAAUAAGAAUUUUAUUUGAUUAUUUGUUAUGUUGGGGAGACAUAAGUAAAAAUUUUUUAACUGCUUUGACAAUUAUACAAUUAUUAGUGAAUAAGUAAAAGAUCCUUUUUUAAGAUUAGUAGAUUAAGUUACUUUAGGGAUAACAGUGUAAUUUCUUUUGAGAGUUCUUAUCGAAAAAGAAGAUUGCGACCUCGAUGUUGAAUUAAAAUAUCUAUAUAGUGGAGAAAUUAUAUGAGAAGGUCUGUUCGACCUUGAAAAUUUUACAUGAUUUGAGUUCAAACCGGUGUAAG